UACAGAGGUCCCGAGCGUUGUUCGGAUUCAUUGGGCGUAAAGGGUGCGUAGGCGGUCUGCUAAGUUUGGUGUGAAAUCCCGGGGCUCAACCUGGAAUCGGCAUUGAAUACUGGCGGACUAGAGUACCGGAGAGGAACUGGAAUUUACAGGUGUAGCAGUGAAAUGCGUAGAGAUCGUGAAGGAAGACCAGUGGCGAAGGCGAGUUC
rnacentral:rRNA from 1 species